CAGUAGCCGCGGUAAUACGUAGGGUGCGAGCGUUAAUCGGAAUUACUGGGCGUAAAGCGUGCGCAGGCGGUUCGUUAAGACAGAUGUGAAAUCCACGGGCUUAACCUGGGAACUGCAUUUGUGACUGGCGAGCUAGAGUAUGGCAGAGGGGGGUAGAAUUCCACGUGUAGCAGUGAAAUGCGUAGAGAUGUGGAGGAAUACCGAUGGCGAAGGCAGCCCCCUGGGCCAAUACUGACGCUCAUGCACGAAAGCGUGGGGAGCAAACAGGAUUAGAUACCCCCGUAGUCCCUGUCUCUUAUAC
rnacentral:rRNA from 1 species